rnacentral:rRNA from 1 species
CUGCUCAAUGUUUUUUAAAUUGCUGUGGUAUUUUGACUAUACAAAGGUAUUGAAAUAAGAUUUUAAUUGAAUGCUAAGAGAAUGGAAUUUCAGAAAAAAACUUUUUUCAAGUUAAAAAUUGAAAUUUUUUUAAUUUGUGCAGAAACAAUUAUUAAUAUUAAGGACAAGAAGACCCUAUGAAUUUAUAAAUUUUAUUUAAUAUGUAACUACUAUUAAAAAAAUUUUAGCUGGGGCGGCGGAAAAAUAUUUAAAACUUUUUUAAAAUAAAAUGACCCAUUAUUAAUGAUUAUAUGUUAAAUACUCUAGGGAUAACAGCGUAAA